UUGUAACUUUGAUCUAAUUUUACUACUUUAAAAAAAAAAAGUUAUAAUUAUUUAAUAUGCAAUUUUUGUGAAUUUUGAAAAAAAUUUUUGUAAGUUUUGGAGUUUGUGCAGAGUAAGACCAUAUGUGAAUUUUUAAGUCUCUUGUGGAAGCCCUUAAAUAUGGCUCUGCAUCUCUAUCACUUGAUGUCAUUGAGAUCCUUAUGAUUUGUAUAAAGUUUGUGUUUUCUCUGUAGCAAUGCACUGAAUGUCAAGGAUGCUAAAUUGAUUUUCAAUCUUGCCAACUAAAAAAUAUCUACAAUCAGAAGAGCUUAGACAAUUUGAACCGGCAGUGCUGAAUAGUGCACAUACAUUUUUAUAUGCCUUUAAAAACCACAUAGAUUGUCUUCAUUUUCUUUAUUCUGUACAUUGGAUACACAUACAAAAAAAAGAGCUAACAUCUCUAAUAACAGGAGAAUGCAUGCUUUUGAAUAAUUAUUUUGAACUGCUUUUAUUUUUAUCGUAUUUUUUUUUUUAUUAUGCUUUCAUUGUGAGGCUUCUCAUUCUUUGAGUCGCAUGAUGCUGAUUACAUGGUGUCUGAGGUCAUAUGACUUGUUGAUCACACGAUGUCUAGACUCUGUGGCUUGCUGAUCACUUGGUGCUGUCAAGGUCACUGAAUUCUUGGUCAUACUUUGCCAUCUGAAGUUGUAUGUACAACCAAUUAAAACCACAAUUUGACUCAUGUUAUUGUCAACUAUUAAUGCUGUAGUUUUUGUUUUUUUUUUGGUCAGCAUCUAUUUUUGUAAUACCUAGGUGUACAGCACUAUAUAUAUACAUUCAUAAUUGUUGUAUAGGUCAGUGUGGUUUAGCAUCUGUAGACACCACAAAGUGGGACAAAAUUAAAACCCAAGUUCUACCCAACAGCUCAUGAACUAUUAGUACGACUGAACUGAACCCCCAUACUGGGGUCAUUUAGUUGUCUGCUCACUACGUCUGAAUGUUUUCAUUGACUCAUCUAUGUCACGUGACCAUUGGUUCAUUAAACUUUGUGAAUAUUGUCACUCACUGUGUUUGUUGUUUGUAUGUCAGAAAAUUUCUUUGCUUGUUUUUUUUUUUUUUUUUUAAACAGGUUUUGUAUAAACUUUUGGAAUCGAUUUUUCGACCUCUUCUGCUCAUUUAAUUUUCAUCAAAUUUUUACUGACACGCUCAUAAUUGAUGACAACACAUGCAUCAAUAAAAAAAUUCAAUAAACU